UUUCUCACGCAUUAUGUAGCCGUUGCGGAUUAGAAGAAGUAUAUAUCAAGCCAUAGAUGGGCCAGAAAAGAGCUUGCAAGGUCCUCUGAUCUGUCUUCAUCUUCCAGAGAAAAAUCAUCGCUACUCUAAUCGCACGACAUGGAAGAUGAUCCAAGCUCUGUAAGCACCCUCCACAGUCGGAAGGAGGAGUAUCUACCAGAGACAAUUCUCUGAGUCUGUGAGACAUCUACAGCUUCUCUCAAACCAUGUUACGUCCAACUUCAUUGCACUAGUUCCUGCUGGCCAAACGUGAACAGAUGUACUUUUUUUGUGUCCAGGAUAGUACCGAAGGUGGAUGUGUACAGAUUGCUAACAGAACCAUGGCACUCUUGACAAGCAGACCCAGAUGUUUGGAUGCUUGUUAUCCCCGCUGCAGAAGGUUAUCCCGUUUCCAGUUCUGCCCAAGAAGCAGAUCACAGAAGUGCUGCCUACUUCAGGAGUGAGCAGAGAGGUCAAGAGCAGGAGUUAUGCGGGGAAGAGAGAGGCAGCCACAAGGAUCUGCUGCAGCCACGAGGUCUCCUCCUCACCUCAGCUGCCCUGGGAGCAGGAAAUGUCCAACCUGCUCAGCCUGCUGUGUAUUUCAACAGUAAAUUAAAGGUCUUCGUUAGCUUAUUUGAUAGUUGAAUAAAAUGCUUUGAAACACUGGCAUAUUAACUGCAAUCAAGUUUUGAAAGGUCUCUGGUUGCUACAAGGAAAUUUGCUUGAUAAAUUGCUCUUUUCAAUUAAACAAAUGGCUAAUUUUUCAUGAGCAAGCCCAGAAGCUAUCAUUUGGGAAGGGAG
rnacentral:lncRNA from 1 species